UUCGUUUUACUCUGUCUAAUUAACAUAAUAUUAGUCCUCCACUACAAUAUUUGUAUUACAAUAACAUUUAAAAGCUAUGUUUGAUGUUUCAGUAAGCUGACAACUGCAUUAAAAUGAUUCCCUGGUGAUAUACAAAACUGUUAUUGAAGAGAAAUAAGUUGAAAUUAUGGUGUGGAAAACUCCAUUUGCUGAUUUUGAAGAAUAUUUCCUGACCCUUAACACAAACAAAAUCAACUUGAUAGCUGUCUGCUACCCGGUGAACCAAGCAGAGCAAAUUCCCAUUGUUGCCUACAAAGGCUCCUCCGAGUGUUUCGACACUACCCUAUGUUACCCGGAGGCUGACUUUGUCCCGGAGUGUCAAGGUGCCUUCACUGUACUUCGACUGACUGCUUCCAUUUAUGAAAG